UAAUUAAAAAAAGUGUGUUAAAGUCUUCUACGCAGAAGUGGGAGAGCCACUGACACAAACAAUCAAAUUGGCAAGAAAUAUAAAACAUGUACGAAACUACUGUAGGUUAUUUUGAUGGAUGGUAUCGUUACUUCUUGUUCUUCAUCUGGGUUUUGAAUGUUGCUGGGAUUUGGACUUUAGCAUACCUGAAGAUUUCCUUGAUCAGAAGAAUCAGAAAUGUCUGUCCUAUCUCAGGAUGCGCCUGUCCCAAGCUUCAUUUUCCAGAACCCACACCCAUUUACGAUAGCAUCCUACCAACACUGAUGGAAGCCUCGUCCUAGCAUUACUCUACUCAUAAUUUAAAGCCUUAUGCGUAUUGGCCUGCUUCUCUUGUUUGACAUAUUUUCUUUUCUCUUAAUAAAGCCCUGCAUUUGCAUCUGAACAUGCACAGAAUUAUUGAAAGUCUCAAAAUAUUAGAUUGAUGGUUAUUCUGUAAAUAUAAUGACUAUGGAAUAAGAAGUUGGAAAACUAUGAAAAAAACAGUGCUAAGUAUAUAGCAUGAGUCUUUACCACCUCUUGAUGGAAUGAAAGAAGAUUUUGCCCAGUUUUUAUACCUUUGUACUAUUUGACAAUUGGCUACUCUUGUACUCUUGUUCUCACCAUGAUGUCCACCAACAGCUAGAGAAGGGUUGAGGCACAAGGUUUCUUCCUAAAGUUCUUAAGGAUUUGGACUUUCUGUAAAGACAUUUUGCGAGGACUGUUUGUAAAACACUACAGUGAAACCUCGGAUUACAAGUAACUCGGUUUACAAGUGUUCCACAAGACGAGCAAACAUUUUUAAUAAAUGUUGACUUGGAAAACGAGCAUUGUCUUGGUUUACGAGCACCGAGUAUCAUGUAUCACGCAAGCGCUUCUUGAUUUGAUGCCGAGCAUCAUGUGAUCACAACUGAGCCAAGGUUUUUUUUUCUCUCUUGCGCAGAUAAUCAGGUAAUCAUCUCCGCUGCUGGGUCUUAGUGCUCGUCUUUUACUGGUAUAAUCAACAUCCAUGUGUGUUUCUUUCUCUUGCGCUGCAGAGUGUGUGUGUUAUGUGUGUGCGCACACGUAAUUUGACACCGUGCCGGUUCACUUUCUCUCUCUUUCUCUCUCUCUCUCUCGCCCAGCACAAAUUAUGCACGCGCACACAUAACACACACUCAGCAGCGCAUAAGAGAGAAAAACACACACACAGCGCCUGUGCGCAUAAAUGGAAACACUUAUCUGUCGAGAUUUAUUUUUACUUUUUUUUAAGGUAACGUGCAGGUUAAAGUGUUUUAUUUUUUCUUUAUAUUUUGUGUUAAUUAUUUUUAUGUAUUUAUUUUUUGGGGGCUGUGGAACGAAUUAUUUUUUAUGGGAAAAUGUGCUUUAAUUUACGAGUGCUUUGGAAUCCGAGUCUGCUUCCCGGAAAGAAUUAUGCUCGUAAUCCGAGGUUCCACUGUAUAUACUAAAUGUCUAGCAGAGUAAUUGGGCAAGGUACAAUAAUAAGAGAAUUAUUGCAUGAAUACAUUGUGAGAAAACAAUCUGCUCUGUGUCAAGACUGUGAACGAAUAUUUCACGCCACCAGACCAGGCUGGUUUGAGCUAGCUAGACAGGAAGGCUAUGGAAACUCAAAAAAGUACUUUUAAUAAUAUAUGAAUUGAUAUCAUUUCAUCCUUCCCAAAAGUACAUAAGUCAACUUAGUGAAUUAGUGUAAAUAUAUACUUAAGGAGCAUCUGCCAAAUAUCUCUAUAUAAAUGUAAUAAAAAAUAGGCAGUGUGAGAUACCUCAAAGAUAAAUGAGGAAAAUGUCUUAAGUAUUAACUCAAUUAACUUUAAAAGGUAUACAUCUCAUUAUAUUGUUAUGUUAAAUUGCUCUCUGCUGAACACUUCCUGUAUUCUCAGAAAGAUGAAUGUAAAGCUCCCAUCCAUCCAUCUAGGAAACUCUUUAGUCCAACUAGGAACUAUGGAGGCCAAUGUAUUUUUUCCCAUUUUUACGACUGUGGUCAGGUAAGGGAAGAUGCGAUGGGAUGGCAAAGCUUAUACUUUACAAUAUGUAAAUCAAGUGUUUUG